AGAGAGAGAGAGAGAGAGAUUCUUAUUGAUCAGAAAUUCCAGAAUGAGUUACACAGGCUAACUCAGCACUUUCAUUUCCCAAUUUCCCUACAAAACACUGUUGCAGUUAACAACUACCUAUAACCAAUUUUCCCUCCAAUUCUCAGCAGCCAAUGUUGACUUUUCUAACUUCUCCAACUUCCUAACUGACUCUCAGCUACCGCUUAUAGUUACAGGUUUAUUCCCUUAGUCCUAAACCUCUUCCUGUGAUCGGCGACUUUCGUGUACCUUGAUUGAGAGGGCUGCUGAUUAUUUGGUUGCCUGUGCUAACUAAUAAUGGAUGAAAAGAAGAGUGUGCUUUAAGUAUUUGAUGAUUGCUCUAGGCUUGGUUGGAACCAUGAAAUG
rnacentral:misc_RNA from 1 species